ensembl:lncRNA
UGACACAACAUGUGCCGUUGGAGGACAGUUUUUCAUAGAAGUGCUUUAACUCUUGGCUUGCUCCCUUUUUUAUUCUGGUGAAAGUGUUUUAAUGUUGUUGCGGGUUCGGCAGAGAGAGUUCAAACCCUGCGAUCAUGUUGUCGUCUUGGCUUCUUCAGUGACAGCAUCAUUCCCUCCCUCCCCUCAAGCCACCCACCACCUUCACCCCUAACUUACCCCUGCCCCGAGGUCAUGAGUCAUAAGCACGGAGGGAGGGGAGGGAGGAUUGUAAACAGCGCCGAGGGGACACUGCAGAAUGGAUCCUAUUGUUAGCCCCACAGGCCAGAGAGUGCUGUCUCACCCAGGGAAGUAUCACCAUUUGGUCUACGCUUGCAGCCAAGUGUGUUUUCUUGGGUGUCCAUGUGCGUGUGUGUCUAUUUUCCUGUGUGGGUUUCUUUGCGAGUGUCUGCACGGACGUAUCACCACGGCAACUGCUCUUUUUGGUUGUUCGCUUCCAUCGAGCAUGUGAUGUGACGCAGCCUGACACCACCACAUGAGCUUGAGAAGCCUGUCACAAGCUAAUUUGUGAACUUGUUGUCUUCCAUCACAUAUCGCUGUAGGUAUUUCCAUAUGUUGGAGCCCGGAGUAUGCGCUGCGUACAUGUGUGUGUUGGACUCCCAGCCUGUGAAGGGAAGACGCAGAAUGAUGCCACCUCAUCCCUUCAUGCCUUGACUCCCAACGGCUCCUGCACCCAUCCCCCUCUCCCUGCAUCUAAUCCCCACCUGGCUGCCAUUGAGGUCAACAUCAGGGGGCUUAAAAUCAGACAGGUGGCUCUUCCUGCGACCUGGAUGUACUUAUCCCUUGAUCCCUGGCGACCCUGACAGGAAGUGGAUCGCUGGCCAAGUGACCCCCUCUGGUGGCCCUUCCUGUCCCCACGUUCCCUUGCAGGAAGGAAGGAUGCGGUCUGUUGUCCUCAGGCGCCGCUCACUCGCUCCCCCCCACCUCAGCCCAACGAGAGAAACCAGAUUAUUGGUUCCAGGCUUGUCUCUCCCUGUGCGUACUUUUUUAUCCUUUUUUUGUCUCCUCCACUUCCCAUCUUCUUUUCUCUGGUCUCAUCACCUACUUUAGCCCAGUUUGACAUCAUUCCUUCCUUCUUUCAUCGACUCCUCUGUGCCUAUGUGAGAUCUCAGUAAACACUGCGGACAAUGGUUAACCACAAAAGUCCCAAAUCCCAGUCAAUUGCACUCCAGGGGCUAACAAUACUUUUGAUUUAUAGUCCUCAUGUGAUGUAUCUCUGACACCGACUUGUUUACUUUUGUUAUUGUUGUUUUAUUGGCCAUUUAUUUACAUUAAAUAUGGCAUUCAUUUUCAUGUGGCGGAGAAAAUCCCAAAGUCAGGCUUCUGGGUUUAGUCUGCUCUCAAAUGAUGUACAUGCACGUUGUGAAUUACAGGACGCCAUUUGGUGGUAGUUAGAAGGAGAAGGGGACUUCCAGGCACACUGAGAAAAGAGACCUCGCGAACAACAUCAAACAAUGUUAUUAUUGUUCUUCUGGCCGUAGUUUAAGAACAGGAACUCAAAACCGAAAAGGUGAGAAGGUCACAAAGAGCCUUUGCUCACCGCUCAGCUCAGACAUUGGUUGGUAAUUGUGACGGUUAAGAGUGAGGACAGGAUUGUGCAAGAGGGGAAAAACUUCUCAUCUCCCGCGGGGGUAUCAGUGCUUAUCCAUGUUUUCUGUCUUGGUAACAUGAGCACAAGUUUUCAUGAGUGUGGUCACACUCUCCAUUGGAUGAUGAUGCAGGCAGAGCAGGUGGUAUAUAUCAAUGCUGCAACCACAUAUGAUGACCGUCCACACUCUGGGCCGUCUCUCUGUGUAUGUAAGUGUCACUCAGCUGCAGGUGUUAGACAGCAUGUUUACACAACACAUUACAGCUUCGAGCACAUUUACUAUAGAUGCAAAUUACCAGCAAAGUAAAAAGAGUAAAUGCAUCAGUCCAGUUUGAUCAUUUAUAUUUAUAUAAAACGCUAAGGAAGUUUAAAAUGUCUAUGUUUAUCUAUGUAAUACUCCAAACCAGGAAGUUGGGGUGUCUACACCUAUUUUAAGAAACAUGAAAAUGCACAAUCUCUCCCAUAAGUCUUUCUGUUGUUCAGCAAACGUUAGAAGGAGUUAUGAGGAAACGCUGCGAGUUACGCGUUAAACUUCGUCCCUUUCCUUGACAAGAGUUUGUCCCCAGUGUAGGAAAGAAACCAAUGUUUUUGGAAGUUAUACACUAAAAUUGUUAAGUGUAACAAAAACACUUGUUAAUUAAACAUCUUUUAAUUGUUAGAUCAGGUUUCAGAAUGAAAUUAUAUUGGUGAAUAUGUCGGUAGUGUUUUUAAAAACGAUAAAUAAUAAAAAGAUUACAAUCUAGUGCCAGUUGGUCUGACUGUGUCUUUUUGUACUUUGAAUACAAUUAAAGAAACUGGACUUAAAGAGAACUGACACUGGAACAGCCCCGCGAGCAAAACAAAUCUAAAAGACGUCACUUCAGUGUCUUUUUCAAAAGUUCAGGGGACAUCUGUGUCCUUCGUUCAUCGAUAAUUGAAGCUGAAAAGACGUCUAAAAUGACUUCACUUUGAACCCUGCAAAGAUGUUUUAAAAGACGUCACAAAAGCUUUCAUUCUGGCUACUCUAAUAGAUGCUGAAUUGAUGUCUUUUGGAUAUGUUUUAGCCCGGUGAGAGAACUCUCCGUGCUUUCAUAAAAUAUCUUUUAUAUGACAAUUUGUUAUUUGUGUAACAUUGAAAUGUGUUGUAAAUUGCCAUCUGGGCUCCGAUACAGCAGGUCUGUGGGAGCUAGUUGGAAUAUUAUAAAAUCUAGCAUCAUUUUAACAUACUGACAAAGGUUUUGAGAUCUCUUAAACAGCAGAAUACACAUUUACAGUUGCAUUCAGUGAAAUUAGACUUCAGGGAGCGCCUCCUUUUCAUUAUCCUUUUAUCUUUAACACAAAUCAAAUUGUUUCUCCUGAUAAAAAGUGAAUCCUGUUCUUUGUCUUCUAAAUGGCAAUAUAACACGUUCUAACAGACUUGGGACACAUUAGAGGACAGCAGGGAGAGAGCGGGAAGUGAGAUGUUGUGAUCCCACAGGUGUUUGUCUCCCUUCUAUCAUGUCAGUCUGCAACUGCAUUGCCACCUAGUGGGAGAGAAGGUUUACUGUCCUCAGACUGCUGUGGUUUAAACUCAUGCAUUCAGUAAAAUUAGGUAGGUUGUAUUGGGGAGGGGAACUGAUUUAAAACAGUGACGAAUGUAAAACUGAAGGGUGUCGCCCACCAUCUUCUCUUUUAAUUGUUGGAUAUUUCAGGUCAGCGGCUGCAAAAAGUUUUUCCAGCUGAGCUCCUCCAACCAAAUAUCAAGCCAGUGAGUUCACAUCUGGAGCUUAUGUGGGAGAUAGACAUCAACAUGUCAGGCCUCCGGGCUAUAAGAACAUCCCUACAGUUGCAAAGCAUCAGAAAUGCUUAUGAUGAAUAAAUCACUUAUCAGGAGCUCAGAAGAGGCCAAAGACACUUAAAUAACUGUCUCAGUCCGUCACAAAGGAGGGAGAGGGAGAGAAAGAGAGGCUGGAAGAAGGGAGGGUAGAAUGAGAGAACAUGUAGUAAAAGCGAGGGAAGGUUUGUUUGGCCACGCUUUGGCUAAUUGGUCUCAGUGGUGCAGCUAAUGGUUUUAGGUUUACGUCCAAGCGGCGCUGAAAAAUAAGUGGGAACCAAUGAAGGGCGAGCGGCUGUGUUUUUAUGCAUUUUCAUCAUCUCGCAGGAGAAGGAGGAGAAUUUAAAGUGCAUAAAAAGAAAAGAGAAUGGAGACUGGAAUCACCUAAUUUAAAGCCACACGUUGCACAUCCUGUUGCUCCUUCAUCUAUUAAGCAGAUGUUAGGUGAAGGGAAUUUUUUUGGGAGCUGGUUUAUCCAUUACAAGCUACUUUUAGCAUUUUCACACCCAGAAUGCCGAGCGCACAUUUGAAGGUCGGUGACGUGCUUUCAUCUGAUACCUCCCACGUCUGUGCCUGUCUUUCAACCCUUUCAGGUUAUAAGUGGCCCUCCUCCUGACCCUCACCAGUCCCAUUUUGUCCGUCUUUCAUCGGCCGUAGCCGAGGCAUGUGGCAACAAAGCUCCGCUGUGGUCAGAUGGCAUCUGUCCCUUCAAUAAUCCUGGAGUUAUCGCUACACAUCAAAGCGUUAAGGGCUUGCAUAAUUGAGUUAACGAGUGUGUUGUACGUAACCUGAUCCUUUAUUCCCUGUGAGGAUGGCGGUCACAGUUUGUGACCACAGACAGAGACGAAGAGAGAGAGUGAGAGAGAGAGAUGGACUAAGAUGGUCUCUAAAGCCCUGCAACAACUGUGGGUUCACGCUGUGGGCCUGGCAAGCUGCAAAGUGGCCUGGGCCAGCACCAAGCUAAUGAAAAAACAACAGUGGGGUAAUGCUGGUGUGGAGCCGGGGCCCGCAGCACCGUGCCCACUGCACAACUGCCCCGGUCAGCACUGGCACUGGUCGCAGCGCCAGUUGUCACGGCCUUAAUCCUGCCUGCUGAAUGACCUCAUCAUUGCCUGCCUGCCUCCCCUGCAGCUGCUGCCAUGGCUCGAUGGAGUGACCUCACCUACGCGACACACACACGCACACACAGACACAAUCACAUGCAAAGCAGGCAGAUAACGCCGGUGCAAAAUCAUGCAAAACCUCAAAUGAUAAGUUCACCAAUAUUACAAGAAGGAAAUUCUCACCGUGCAGGUAGUUUAGGUUUAAUCUGCUAAGAUUUCUGCAUGCAUCCUACUCAAAGUACUGAAAACUCCAUGCAUUUCCAUGCAUUUCCAAGGAACCAAUGAAGACAAUGCUCACCAUGCAGGGAAGUCUGUGGACUGUCCACAUUAACCAGAGCAUCGUUUCAAGGGAGAUGCAAAUUUUUUACGUGUCUGCUGUCCUUAAUACAGGAUUCUGCACAUCAUGAUUUACAUUCAAAGACAAUCUUCAGGGCCGAGUCUCUAAGUAGUGUGCCCUAUGUGGAAGCUGCACAGUCGGGGUGGUGGGUGGAGCAUUUCACAGACCUGCAAUUAGUUAGUUAGUUAGUAAUUAAAUAGUCCAGUCUGUGGGACCUAAGUGGAACUAUUAGCAAAAAUGUUCAUAAUUAUGUUUUCAUGAGUGUAUUAUCAACACAAACGUACUGUGCUUUAGUUAGCUUAAUAUGAGCUUUUCAUAUCGAGAGAGGGAGCAAGUCUGUCGCUACCUGAUGUCAGUAGCUGUCUCUAGGUAUGGCAACACCAUUUGGACAAACCACAUGCACAAGUGCAUUUACAUGGUCAAUUUGUCAAGUUAGUUUUUUAUAUUUGUGUUCAUUGUAUCGUAGCAUAAUCUCAAUGUUCAUGUUACUGUUAGCGUGUGCUGUCCAGGUAUUUGGACAAAUUGUACUGUAAUGCUUUGUCAGUUUUGUUCUUGUAUCCAUGUCAAUAAAGCCUUCGACUGGGUUCUUUCAUCGCCCGGCCUCACCCUAACCAUGCCUCGAUCAUUAUUCAUAUGCUGAAACCACAGUCUUUCCCUGUAACCUACAUCCAUAAUGUAGCUGUAUUGCAUAUUGCAGAAAGUUAGAUAUAAUCUGUGC